AUGAAGCUCCUCAGCUCUGAAGAUUCGAGAAAGUUAUUCACGAGCAGAGUAUUUGGGUCUGAGAACAAAUGUCCAGCUAAUUUUGAGGAAGUUUCAAAUGAAAUUCUGAAGAAGUGUGGCGGAUUGCCACUUGCAAUCAUUACUAUAGCUAGCCUAUUGGCUUCCCGUCGAGAAAGAUCAAGGAAUGAUUGGGAGAACAUACAGAAUUCUCUAGGUGCCCAGUUUGCCAUAAACCCCACACUGAAAGGGAUGAGGAGUAUAUUAAACCUCAGCUAUAUGAAUCUUCCUCUUCAUCUCCGCACUUGCUUCCUUUACCUUGCUAUGUAUCCAGAGGACUAUGUGAUUGAGAGGGAUGAUCUAGUCCGAAAAUGGAUAGCCGAAGGCUUUAUCAGUAAUUUGCAUGGACCAAAUUUGGAGGAUGUUGGGAUAAGUUAUUUCAAUGAGCUAGUCAAUAGAAGCAUGAUUCAGCGUGUAAUGACCUACAAGGGAGUUUACUGCAAAGUACAUGAUAUGAUGCUAGAUUUGAUCCUAAGCAAGUGUGCAGAAGACAAUUUUAAUAGUGUGGCAUAUACUUCUGAAGACAUGACAAGACUGCGUGACUGCACGUACAAGAUCCAUCGGUUAUCCCUGAUCUCACGUGUUGAUAGAACAACAAAUGAAACAAUAUCAUGGACAGUUUUGGAUAGCAUAUCACAAGUUCGGUCAUUGGUAUGGUUCGGAGCUUGCAAGUCCAUACCUCAUCUUUCUCAGUUAAAGUAUAUCUGUGUGUUAUCUUUUGAAGAUCGAUCUUUAAUUAGGACACGUCUGGACCUCACUGCAAUCAGCCAAAUGUUUCAACUGAGGUAUUUAAAGGUUUCAAUUUAUUACUAUGCAAUGCUUCCCACUGAAAUUCGGGGGCUUGUGCAUUUGGAUACGUUGGAUGUACCAUGUGGAAGCAUCCCGUCAGACAUAGAGCACUUGCCGCGCUUGUCUAAUCUGACAAUGGGUUUGUAUGAGGGGAUAGGGCUACUUGAAAGGAUCGGGAUCAUGGAAUCACUUCGCACACUCGAUGGUUUCAAAUUGGAGAGGAGUUCGCUGGAGGCUCUUGAGGGCCUUGGUAAGCUGACUAAUCUGAGGAAUCUGAAGCUUCAUACCUGGGAUGAUGAUGAGUGCAAUCUGCUGGAGAAGGCGAAGUUUGAUGCUUUCGCCUCUUCUAUUUGUAAGCUACGCAACCUCAAAUAUCUCCAGAUCAAAGGCAAUCAUGAUGAUAAGGACGACAUUUUAGGCUCAGUUUCAGAUCCUCCAGCCCUUAUCGAGGAAAUGGGGACGAAAACUGAUGAGAUUACUAUUCUUGGAGGACUGCCAUCCCUCGUCUACCUCAAGCUUAGAGUUGUGACAUGCCCUAAAGAAGAGGCUGUUAUCGUCAGCAAGGGAUUAUUCCCAGUUCUGGAGCGCCUUACAUUCAUCUCUGACGAGGGUGUUUUAGCAUAUCUUGAUUUCGAGGCAGGAGCUAUGCCCAAGCUACGAGACCUCAUUCUGCAAGUCAACCAACCACUGUGGGGUGGACCUACACCAGCCGGCAUGUUGCACCUCUUAGACCUCCAGCAAAUCAGUUUUACUGCAUGCGGCAACCACAAGGAAUCUGUUGAACAAGUGAAGCUCGACAUCCAGUCUGCGUUUAGGAACGCCCUGCAGAUGCACCCAAGCCCUCCUUCCUUGGAUAUUAACUGUUACUCCCGCAAAUGA
rnacentral:rRNA from 1 species